GACGAACGCUGGCGGCGUGCCUAAUACAUGCAAGUAGAACGCACAGUUUAUACCGUAGCUUGCUACACCAUAAACUGUGAGUUGCGAACGGGUGAGUAACGCGUAGGUAACCUGCCUGGUAGCGGGGGAUAACUAUUGGAAACGAUAGCUAAUACCGCAUAAUAUUGAUUAUUGCAGGAUAAUUGAUUGAAAGAUGCUAUUGCAUCACUACCAGAUGGACCUGCGUUGUAUUAGCUAGUAGGUGAGGUAACGGCUCACCUAGGCGACGAUACAUAGCCGACCUGAGAGGGUGAUCGGCCACACUGGGACUGAGACACGGCCCAGACUCCUACGGGAGGCAGCAGUAGGGAAUCUUCGGCAAUGGACGAAAGUCUGACCGAGCAACGCCGCGUGAGUGAAGAAGGUUUUCGGAUCGUAAAGCUCUGUUGUAAGAGAAGAACGGGUGUGAGAGUGGAAAGUUCACACUGUGACGGUAUCUUAACAGAAAGGGACGGCUAACUACGUG
rnacentral:rRNA from 1 species